GUGCUUGCUUCGGCAGCAUAUAUACUAAAAUUGGAAGGAUGCAGGGAAGAUUAGCAUAGCCCUGUACAAAAAUGUAAAAUCUUGGUACCUAGAAGGUUCUCUAUAAAU